rnacentral:rRNA from 1 species
UACGUAGGGUCCGAGCGUUGUCCGGAAUUAUUGGGCGUAAAGGGCUCGUAGGCGGUCUGUUGCGUCGGGAGUGAAAACUUACAGCUUAACUGUGAGCGUGCUUCCGAUACGGGCAGACUUGAGGUAUUCAGGGGAGAACGGAAUUCCUGGUGUAGCGGUGAAAUGCGCAGAUAUCAGGAGGAACACCAGUGGCGAAGGCGGCUUCCUGGCCUGUUCUUGACGCUGAGGCGCGAAAGCUAGGGGAGCAAACGGG